UGGGGAAUAUUGGGCAAUGGGCGAAAGCCUGACCCAGCAACGCCGCGUGAAGGAAGAAGGCUUUCGGGUUGUAAACUUCUUUUAUCAGGGACGAAGGAUGUGACGGUACCUGAUGAAUAAGCCACGGCUAACUACGUGCCAGCAGCCGCGGUAAUACGUAGGUGGCAAGCGUUGUCCGGAUUUACUGGGUGUAAAGGGCGCGUAGGCGGAGAGACAAGUCAGAUGUGAAAUCUAUGGGCUUAACCCAUAAACUGCAUUUGAAACUAUCUCCCUUGAGUGAUGGAGAGGCAAGCGGAAUUCCUAGUGUAGCGGUGAAAUGCGUAGAUAUUAGGAGGAACACCAGUGGCGAAGGCGGCUUGCUGGACAUUAACUGACGCUGAGGCGCG
rnacentral:rRNA from 1 species